AGGUGGUCUUAGAAAGGUGAGAAAACCACCCUACGCCGUGAAGCGCUGCCGCCAAUUCCCCAUUCUCCGCGGCGGAGGCUGUACUGUCAGCCACUCUGUCGAAUGCUUCAUCGUCACCAGCUCAUUGGUCUUGUGCUUAUGAAAGCAUAUAACGACAUUUUACAACAAUGGUGACAUUGAGGAGCCUGAAGAUAAAGACAUCGACAUGCAAUGAUGCAAGAGAACAACAAAAGAGCUCCACUACUAUGACUCUAUGAGAAAGAGGUCGAAAGAGAGUCCGCUAAAAUUGCUGAUAUGAAGGCAAAAGGCUCUGAUUUAUAUGAUCUCAAAAAGAAGGAAAAUGUGCUGGGUGAAUCUAGGAAGAUGAUUCCUGACUGCCUCAAGAGCCUAGAGGCUGCUCUAAGUGAUCUUAAAGGCACUUUGGUAAUCUAUCAAGCUCAAGUGCUGGCACAGCUUAUCUGCUGAUGGAAUUUUAUCUAGGUUGAAGUGAAAAGGAAGGUUCAGAGAUUGAUGAUUCUUGGAGCACCAUUACAGAUUUUGAGCAGAUAUUUCAAUUGAAAAGGAAGGUUCAGAGAUUGAUGAUUCUUGGAGCACCAUUACAGAUUUUGAGCAGAUAUUUCAAUCUACGACGCAUAGCUGGAGACACUGGUGUCUAUUCUCUUUGAAUUGUGGUUUAUGUAUUAGCUUUGCUGUGGUGACUAGUGAGCUGAAAAAUUGGGAAUUGGCAUGAUUGUGAAUUUGUGAUCA